rnacentral:rRNA from 1 species
GUGGGGAAUAUUGGGCAAUGGGGGAAACCCUGACCCAGCAACGCCGCGUGAAGGAAGAAGGCUUUCGGGUUGUAAACUUCUUUGACCAGGGACGAAACAAAUGACGGUACCUGGAAAACAAGCCACGGCUAACUACGUGCCAGCAGCCGCGGUAAUACGUAGGUGGCGAGCGUUGUCCGGAUUUACUGGGUGUAAAGGGCGCGUAGGCGGACUGGCAAGUCAGAUGUGAAAUACAGGGGCUCAACCCCUGAACUGCAUUUGAAACUGUUGGUCUUGAGUAUCGGAGAGGCAAGCGGAAUUCCUAGUGUAGCGGUGAAAUGCGUAGAUAUUAGGAGGAACACCAGUGGCGAAGGCGGCUUGCUGGACGACAACUGACGCUGAGGCGCGAAAGCGUGGGGAGCAAACAGGAUUAGAUACCCUGGUAGUCC